rnacentral:rRNA from 1 species
GACGAACGCUGGCGGCGUGCUUAACACAUGCAAGUCGAGCGGUAAGGCCCUUUCGGGGGUACGACGAGCGGCGAACGGGUGAGUAACACGUGGGUGACCUGCCCUCAGCUCUGGGAUAAGCCUGGGAAACCGGGUCUAAUACUGGAUAUGACUCCAUGACGCAUGUUGUGGGGUGGAAAGCCUUGUGCGGCUGAGGAUGGGCCCGCGGCCUAUCAGCUUGUUGGUGGGGUGAGGCCUACCAAGGCGACGAUGGGUAGCCGGCCUGAGAGGCGACCGGCCACACUGGGACUGAGACACGGCCCAGACUCCUACGGGAGGCAGCAGUGGGGAAUCUUGCGCAAUGGGCGAAAGCCUGACGCAGCGACGCCGCGUGAGGGAUGACGGCCUU